UUUCUAUCCUAUACACUUUUUAAUUGCUUUAAAUAUAUAAAUAUAUUAUUUAUUUUUAAAGGAAUGAGCAAAUUAGAAUUCCAAUUCACUCUAAGGAGACAGAGUUUAAAUUUUUCAACAGGAUAAUUAACUAUUUGCUUGGCUUCAAUUUAUCUGUCUUGUACAUACAGCGAUUUGACAGAACUGACUAGUGAAAACUAACCAAAGCUAGAAAUCAACGGAGAGAAUAGUCAAGAAUGGAAAAAGGAAGAGUUUCAGGAAAUGAUAUUUUCCCAUCAGUGGAUAGGCAUGCAUACAUUAAAGGCAUAAAAGGCCGUGGGAGGAGAAACAAAAGCUGUAAGCUAAGGAUCCUGCAAGUCUGAAUUAACUAAAUGGGGAAAAAAAUGAAAUCAUUCUGCUUAAACCUGUUCACUAAUAAAAGGAGAAUCGCUUUUGUUAAAUAUGCUUGGUGUGAUUAUCAAGCAAAAUUUUUUUCUCCCAGACAUCUAUGAAUAAAACAUGCAUUUGAGCACUAGGUAAACAAACAAUAAAUGGAUGAGUUCAGUUACAACAUAAUAACAUUUUAUUUGGAAAACAUAUAUAAUCAUAUUUGUAUUGGCAAUCCAAAUUUAAUGACUUCUUUCAGUAAAAUCAAAGUGCCUCACAAAUAACAUUUAAUGCAUAAGGAUUGUUUACUAUUUGCCCAUUUUUUUUUCUGUUUUCUCAAAUAAACAGAUUUUUAAGGUCUCUGCUGAACCAUACAUAAACUAGGUGAAAUGUGAUUUUUCAGAAAAGACUUUCUUUUGGAUUUUCUUAAUUUUAGGUUUUACAGAUGCUGUAAAAAUAAAUUUAAAAACACAUUUUUGAGAUGGGGAGAAAAUGUUUUCAGUCUGUGUAGCCUGGGCUGAUUUGAACAAGACUCUGUGUGUAACCAUAGUCUUUGGCUUAUUAGCCAUUUCAUCAACAUGACAUCAUCUUCUGCAAAAUAUGAAUGAGGAGAAACCAUUUACAAUAAGAAAAGCAAACAACAGAAUGAAUUUCCUCUGUUGGUGUUUUGUGAGACUGUUAAACAGAAAAUGGAGGGAAGAACUCUCUUUAGACGAUAUCACUUAAUUAAGUAAAGCAUCCUAAUCAGAGUCCCCUCCAAUUGUAAUGACUGUAGGGAGUCAAGUACAUUUCUGUCUAUAUUAGAGUAUCUAACUGCAAUGAUUUAUUGAUAUUUAUUUUAGAAGUGCAACACAAAAGCAAUAAAACAGAGGAAGCAGGGAGAGAGGGAACAUGCCAUUGCUUACUACAGUUACAACCAGAACACAACAAACUUCCUGAUUUUCAUGUGGGAGGUUUUGCUUUCCAAAAUCAGAGCCCACCUUUAUAAGAGAAUGUUCCUUUUCCUCAUUUGAUUUUUCCAAAUGUUCACUGUGGCGUUUCUUUGUCCAUUAGAUGAAUCAUUGAUUCACUUUCCUCACUGCAAGAAUCACUGCAAAUGAGUGGAUGAGCACCUGCUGUUUUCUGCAGUGACAUUACUGGAUUGCAUUCCACCCUGAUUUUAGUCUUAAAAUACAGCUUCUCUGUAUGAGAGAGAGAUUGAGGAAGGAGAGUAAAUAUACAGUAUAGGCAGACAGACAUUGGCUGCCCUCCAAGUUGCACACAGCAUAAACCUGUUUAUCUGCUACAUUUCACAAAUCUCAAAAACAUGUGAAUAAUCAGGCAAGCAACUGGAUAAGUGAUUCACACUAGGGAACCUAACCAAUAUUCUGAUGAGAGGAUACUAUGAUGCUAAGAUGUUGAGGCAAAUAGGCCUGUAUUGUAGAAACUGCAUAUAGUAAAGUUGAUUAGUGGUUCAAAGGAGAAAACAAUCUGUACUAAAAUGAAGUUGAGGCAGUAUCCCACCCUGUGGUCUUUGGUUUGUUAUAUUUAUGUGCAAGUUACCUGGAUAAUUGAGUUUAAAAAUAUACAUUCAUUCAUACCAUUCCAAUAAUUGGGGUCAGUAUACAUUGAUUGGCCUUCAUGUCAGUUGUCAAGGUAAUUUAUUUCUGGAGACCAAGAUCUAAAUAUUGAGGGCUAGUGCCUUAAAACCCAAAUUAUACCAACACAUCUAUUUGAAAUUAAAUUACCAAACAUACUUAGAACCUAUUCAUUUUGAAGAAGCAACUUUUCUUGGAAGGCUACAGUCAAUUUUUAUUAUUGUAGAAGAUGAAUUGUCUGAGAAUAAGUGAACUAGGCAUGUAAGGCUCUUGUUAUAGCUACAUCACUGCUUUCUCUAUUUUUCUCUUUGUUUCUUCCUCAUUUGCUGAUCAUUUAAUCUCCCUUUGUCUUAUUCCCAUGAUUAUUGUGCUUUAGCAUUUAGCUGUGAAGUGGAAGCUCUCAAAGGUUUUGAGGCUAACCCCAAAAGUAUACAUUGUUUCUGAAAAUUUCAUGAGGUUGUUUGUGAAUUUUGGGCUUAAAUCACUUCCAUAAACUAUAUUUGGUUAAUUACAGCAAGAUGAAUUAUCAACUUGCUUGAUAUAUCUGUCUAUUCGCUUAUAUGGUAGACCUGUCAUCACAGGUCUAUACCAGGAAAAUGUAGGUUUCUCUACAUUUGCAAACCCAAAAUACUAUUCCAGAAAGAAGAGCAAUAAUACAACAAGGCAAUUGAAUAAACAUUGCACAUCCUACAGCUUUUUUUCCCCCUGCAUUGCAGAAAGGCAAAUUGCUAAAACUUUUUGAUACUAGAAAACUUUGUUAAAUUACGGUAACCAAAGACAUAAUCAUCUUAGCAACAGAAAGUCUUGGAGAAGGUAGGUGACCUGGAAAUUGAUGUUCCAAACAAUAUUCUGCUACAUUUGAGCUUCUUCAUUAAAGCUUUGCCUCAAGAGAAUGUAUGUUGAGUCUACUGCCAAUUGCAUCUGCCAAAUGCUUUUUAUUGUCUGAACAUUUUCUCAUCUUCUUGCUUUUCGUCUCAGGUUCUUUUUAUUCAGGAUCAGGCACAGAGACUGACUGAAUGGCUCCAAUUAUCAGGAUUUGAAAACCCAGUAUCAGAAUCUACCACUUUGUAGCAUAAUAACCAAUGACUGCUCUCAGAAAGGUACUGUGACCACCACUUGCUUGGCUCUCCAACCUCCUCCCCCAUUUCCCUCUUGAUUCCUCUUUGCCAUAUCACCGUCUGUCCCCUAGCCUUGCCUCAGGUCCCUGAAGAAUCCUGCCCUUAAUCUGUGGGGGUGGUAGGUGGCACUGGUUUGAAGAGCUUACUGGAUCUCCCUCAGUGAGUCAGCCUGGAGUUGUGUUUGAAAACCACAGGCCCUGACUGUGGCUGUCAGACCUCCCAGACACCACCUGCUGCUGCCCGUCAUCAUCUUCAGGUGCUGGGCUCCCCUGUGGGCCUCCUCCUCCCGCCUCUGCUGCAGCGGUCCCAUGGGUGCCCGCCCUCUCUGACACCACACGAGAAGCCAUCUAGAUUCCAGGAACAAAGCCAUCUUUAUUUGCCUCCUUCCCACUGAAGAACAGGCCCAAGGGAGAGGGAAAAGUGGAUACCCACCUGUGUCGCCAUUUGUGUGCCAAGUCCAGGAACAGUCCAUGCAGCCCUGCGGCAUCCCACGACGCUGUCACAAAGAAGUUCACCCGAGGCUGAGGUGUUGUCAUCAGAAUGUUCGUUAAAUAAGCAGUCAUGUUAAGGAAGCUCUAAUGGUGAGGAACCUUGGGCAAACUCCAGCCAGCAGUCAGAAAGAAGUCUGGAUCCUUGGUCUUAGAGCAGCAUGGAAAUGAAUUCUGCCAAUAACCUGGAUGGAGAAACUGAGGCCCAGAAAUUGAUCUCCAGAAUGCUUUGCUCUUAGCCACUAUACUAUUAUGGCAUAUUUUAUCUUUAUGUAUUGCAUUAUUUCAUGGAUUCAAGUUUAUCAAUGUCCUUUGACAAGUUUAAAAAUCUGUCUGCUCACAUGCACACGUAUGUUCAUUGCGGCACUAUUCACAAUAGCAAAGACUUGGAAUCAACCCAAAUGUCCAUCAGU